rnacentral:rRNA from 1 species
UACGGAGGGUGCAAACGUUGCUCGGAAUCAUUGGGCGUAAAGCGCACGUAGGCGGCCUUUUAAGUCGGGUGUGAAAGCCCUCGGCUCAACCGAGGAAGUGCAUUCGAAACUGAGGGGCUUGAAUACUGGAGAGGAUGGCGGAAUUCCCGGUGUAGAGGUGAAAUUCGUAGAUAUCGGGAGGAACACCAGCGGCGAAGGCGGCCAUCUGGACAGAUAUUGACGCUGAUGUGCGAAAGCGUGGGGAGCAAACGGG